rnacentral:antisense_RNA from 1 species
UUUAAUGUUACUGCUCAUACUCCAAGUUAUAGAAUGCUUAAAAUUAAAUUAUCUGACUUUUAUAAUUCACUACACGGUGAGCUCAAAUUUACCUCAUCAGAAUGUUUAGUACUUCUGCACUUCUCUCACUUCUCAAAGUUUUCCCAUACCAGGAUUCCCACCACCUAGGAACAGCCUUUGCAAGAUUCCAAUGCUCUCUAAAUCCCCAAAGCAGGGUCUAUUUCCUGAUCGAACAAAGAGCAACAAAGAAGUGGGUGGUAACCACCUCUCUGAGGCAAGCCAGGACCCAUGGAGUCUGAUCUACAACACAAGCAGUAGCAGUUCCACGUCUCCCUACCUCCUCUUAUUUCCUACGAAGUCCUUCUGCCUGAAACUGGAAAACCCGAACUAUUAUUGAGGGAGUGAAGCCCUUCCAUUUGAAUCCUGAGAAAGACGCGCUCAAAGAACCCAGCGAACAAAGGAGAGGGUUGGAGCCCACGCAAAACAUGGGUGUGAUAAAGCCACACGAGACUUGAGCCCCCACCCUCAGUAACCACUCUCCAGCGCCCACCCGGGAGGAGGGAUCCGGGGAAAGGAUUGGCAUCUUCUGCUUCUUGAAUCCCCAUGCAGAAAACGUGGCUACCAACAGCUUCUGAAUCCACCUGCAGAGAGACUGACUGCUCUGUUAUUCCCCCAGCAUCUGUGAAGAGGCUCUGACUGGCUAAAAUGUUAGAAGGAGUCUGUAGCUUUAGGGGAAGACAGAGCCACAAGAUGAAAGGAGCUUGGAUGUCUGAACUAUUCCAUGGAGAAAAGCUGCAGCCAAUGAAGAACACCUGCAAUGGACUCUUAACCUGGGGGUGACGACAACCACUGAAAUAUGCUGCAUCUUAGUCCAGGGAUUUUUAAAGUGUGGUUCCUGGAAGAGCUGGAUCAGAGUCAUCUGUGUUGAUGGUUUAACGUAAAGAUUUUCGGGCCCCAAGACUCAAGUAGGACAAGGAAUUUGAAUUUUUAAGCAGCUCACCUGACUUGUCUGUCCUCUAAUGUCUGAGGACAUCUGACCUCUGCUCUUUCAGUAAAAGCAACAAUGGUUUUAUGAGCAUCGUCGUCACAUCUCUCCACUCGAGGGAUCCUUCUCAUUUCUCCCAGCUGAGGUCACCCACAGCUGCUACUUCUAACUGCUGGCUUCCAGCCUGCUGUCUGCCAGCUGGCUCUACCCUCUCCUAUAACACAGCAGAGAGUAGCUGUGGUCUCCUGCGUGCUCACCCUCCGCUCCCUUGGGUCCAUGCUUUGGUCCUGCACUUAAAUUUUACAAGCAUACUCUCUUUCUCUUAAGAUGAAGGAGCUGAGGCUGGAGAAGUUAAGAGACCCCUGCUAGACAGGAAGGCACGUGAGAAGUAUACUGCUCUGUCUCCUGUGGAGUAAAAAGACUUUAGCGUUCUCAGAAGAAAACCAAAUGAGAUCACACGAAUGAGACUGCUGGCUGAAAUCUUUCAGAGACAAGGUUCAAGAGAGCAAGCAAAACAUUACAGGACAAUGAACAGAUCAAGGUAGCCACUCCCAGUCAAGGACUGUAUGAGUUGCCCAGAGCAAGACAUUUUAGGAUAUGGUACAUAGCUGGGAGCCUGCCAACUCCUGGUUUUGUCAUUACCCUCAGAACUCCAGAAUGUAAGCUCCAUGAAGAGGAUGCACCUCCAACAAAACAAUUCUUACAUGGAAUCCUAGGGUCUUUGGAACAUGGUUUGAACACCAACAGCUUUGAGAAGGAAGAGAAAAUCCAGAAGUCAGAAGUGGACCAUGUUGAUCAGGAUCCUACACCCUCCAGUUCACUGGUGAAUAACUUCAUAUUCCUAAAGUUAAGAAGCCUGCCCUGAUGGUCAUUCAGUUACUUUGACCAAUGACCAAACAGAGAGAGGAAGGUAAGUAGUAUUGUUUUCAUUUCUUUAAAAACUUCACUAGGAGGAAACCCCAAGGUAACAAUGACAACAACAAAAAUCUAUUGCAACAUAGCUGAUAGCAAUAAAACCUCUUUUAAAAAAUAA